rnacentral:rRNA from 1 species
UACGGAGGGUGCAAACGUUGCUCGGAAUCAUUGGGCGUAAAGCGCGUGUAGGCGGUCCGGUAAGUCCGCUGUGAAAGUCGGGGGCUCAACCCUCGGAUGCCGGUGGAUACUGUCGGGCUUGAGUACGGAAGAGGCGAGUGGAAUUCCUGGUGUAGCGGUGAAAUGCGCAGAUAUCAGGAGGAACACCUAUAGCGAAGGCAGCUUGCUGGGACGUUACUGACGCUAAGGCGCGAAAGCGUGGGGAGCGAACAGG